CUGACCACCCACAAAUGCUGCAACAGGAGUGUGGGGAGACACCUACCGUAGCUGGCCUCUCCACAUGGUGGUUCUCAGCCGAAGGAGCCAGCACCCACAGUGGGGCCUGUCCUGUUGCUGACUUGCCCGGGUUUGGCUGAUGUAACUUAGGAUUUUCUAUGCCGCUGUCCCUGGAGGCCAUGGAAUGCACCAAGUGGUUCAGUUUCUCCUGCAGCUGUUUCAUCUGGACUAUGAGGAAGGAGAUGGAAAGAAAGGCAGCUUCACUGAAAAAUUCUACUUCACAGCUGGGCAUGAUGGUGCACAUCUUUAAUCCGAGGCAGAGAAAACAGAAAAGGAGGAAAAAAUUCAAUCAAAGAGGUCAAAAGAAGGCUAAUAUCCCUGGUGGAGACAGAUGAAUAACUUCAGUAAACGUCUGCACAGAGAGGCAUG